rnacentral:rRNA from 1 species
AAAUGAAUAGACGGGGACCCGCACAAGCGGUGGAGCAUGUGGUUUAAUUCGAAGCAACGCGAAGAACCUUACCAAGUCUUGACAUCCCAAUGACCUAGUAUGUAAUGUACUAUCUCUUCGGAGCAUUGGUGACAGGUGGUGCAUGGUUGUCGUCAGCUCGUGUCGUGAGAUGUUGGGUUAAGUCCCGCAACGAGCGCAACCCUUAUCUUUAGUAGCCAGCGGUUCGGCCGGGCACUCUAGAGAGACUGCCAGGGAUAACCUGGAGGAAGGUGGGGAUGACGUCAAAUCAUCAUGCCCCUUAUGACUUGGGCUACACACGUGCUACAAUGGCGUAAACAAAGGGAAGCGAAGCCGUGAGGUGGAGCAAAUCCCAAAAAUAACGUCUCAGUUCGGAUUGUAGUCUGCAACUCGACUACAUGAAGCUGGAAUCGCUAGUAAUCGCGAAUCAGAAUGUCGCGGUGAAUACGUUCCCGGGUCUUGUACACACCGCCCGU